rnacentral:rRNA from 1 species
AUGAACGCUAGCUACAGGCUUAACACAUGCAAGUCGAGGGGCAGCAUGGUCUUAGCUUGCUAAGGCCGAUGGCGACCGGCGCACGGGUGAGUAACACGUAUCCAACCUGCCGUCUACUCUUGGACAGCCUUCUGAAAGGAAGAUUAAUACAAGAUGGCAUCAUGAGUCCGCAUGUUCACAUGAUUAAAGGUAUUCCGGUAGACGAUGGGGAUGCGUUCCAUUAGAUAGUAGGCGGGGUAACGGCCCACCUAGUCUUCGAUGGAUAGGGGUUCUGAGAGGAAGGUCCCCCACAUUGUAACUGAGACACGGUCCAAACUCCUACGGGAGGCAGCAGUGAGGAAUAUUGGUCAAUGGGCGAGAGCCUGAACCAGCCAAGUAGCGUGAAGGAUGACUGCCCUAUGGGUUGUAAACUUCUUUUAUAAAGGAAUAAAGUCGGGUAUGGAUACCCGUUUGCAUGUACUUUAUGAAUAAGGAUCGGCUAACUCCGUGCCAGCAGCCGCGGUAAUACGGAGGAUCCGAGCGUUAUCCGGAUUUAUUGGGUUUAAAGGGAGCGUAGAUGGAUGUUUAAGUCAGUUGUGAAAGUUUGCGGCUCAACCGUAAAAUUGCAGUUGAUACUGGAUAUCUUGAGUGCAGUUGAGGCAGGCGGAAUUCGUGGUGUAGCGGUGAAAUGCUUAGAUAUCACGAAGAACUCCGAUUGCGAAGGCAGCCUGCUAAGCUGCAACUGACAUUGAGGCUCGAAAGUGUGGGUAUCAAACAGGAUUAGAUACCCUGGUAGUCCACACGGUAAACGAUGAAUACUCGCUGUUUGCGAUAUACUGCAAGCGGCCAAGCGAAAGCGUUAAGUAUUCCACCUGGGGAGUACGCCGGCAACGGUGAAACUCAAAGGAAUUGACGGGGGCCCGCACAAGCGGAGGAACAUGUGGUUUAAUUCGAUGAUACGCGAGGAACCUUACCCGGGCUUAAAUUGCAGAUGAAUUACGGUGAAAGCCGUAAGCCGCAAGGCAUCUGUGAAGGUGCUGCAUGGUUGUCGUCAGCUCGUGCCGUGAGGUGUCGGCUUAAGUGCCAUAACGAGCGCAACCCUUGUUGUCAGUUACUAACAGGUUCCGCUGAGGACUCUGACAAGACUGCCAUCGUAAGAUGUGAGGAAGGUGGGGAUGACGUCAAAUCAGCACGGCCCUUACGUCCGGGGCUACACACGUGUUACAAUGGGGGGUACAGAGGGUCGCUACCACGCGAGUGGAUGCCAAUCCCCAAAACCUCUCUCAGUUCGGACUGGAGUCUGCAACCCGACUCCACGAAGCUGGAUUCGCUAGUAAUCGCGCAUCAGCCACGGCGCGGUGAAUACGUUCCCGGGCCUUGUACACACCGCCCGUCAAGCCAUGGGAGCCGGGGGUACCUGAAGUGCGUAACCGCGAGGAGCGCCCUAGGGUAAAACUGGUGACUGGGGCU